GAAGCUAUGAGCCACACUGUUUAUUUACAUUCCUGCUGCAAGGAAUUGUGGGAUAGAUUCAUGGCCAAUCCAGUGUGUAUGUGGUAUACUCAAGGAAAUGCAAACAUCAAUAUAAAAACAUUUGUUAGCAUUUACAUAACAUGACAAGUGGCUACAAAUCAAAUUGUCAUUCCCCUCGAUUUGAAAGUCUAACCAGAACCAGGCCGUUUUGUCUGUAACCUUAUCGUUUGUAUCCUAAACCUCUGGAUCUUUUUAGCAAGCUAGCUAGCAAGCGAUGAAAAUGGCGCCGAAUUCGCACUUCCUGUUUGCUAACCUUUCGUGAAUUUAACGACUACUGUCACUGGACCACUUCGUCACUGAAGAAAACCUUUAAAAACGGAAUAUUCAGGCAAGACGUGGAGCUGUUGGGAACUUGCCUUUUCCAGAUUUAACAUCGGACAUUAACAUCGCGGCGGACAUCAGAAAGGAAGCUACCAAUGGCACAUAGUGUCCCUUUGGUGAGAAAGUGGAUUCUGGUUCUGCUCCGCCAUUAGAAUGCGGAAACACUCGGCCAGGGUCAUCACUGGGUCUGUCGGCAUACUCCUGGACACACAGGGCAGAGAGACAGCCUCCCUCUAAGGACACGUCAUGCACGUGGAAAAUGGCAGGAAACAGAAGAGGAAAUUAGAUGCAGGAGUGGCGAUAGAUGGGUAGGUCAACAGGAUGGCAAGAGAGGAGAAGAGCCCACCAGACUGAGCUGAGCAGCAGUGUUGUUGCACAGAGACAGGAAUUUUUCACUGUUUCCACCACCUCUUAUGAAUUGAAUCAUC